rnacentral:rRNA from 1 species
UGGGGAAUAUUGGACAAUGGGCGAAAGCCUGAUCCAGCCAUGCCGCGUGUGUGAAGAAGGUCUUCGGAUUGUAAAGCACUUUAAGUUGGGAGGAAGGGCAGUAAGCGAAUACCUUGCUGUUUUGACGUUACCGACAGAAUAAGCACCGGCUAACUCUGUGCCAGCAGCCGCGGUAAUACAGAGGGUGCAAGCGUUAAUCGGAAUUACUGGGCGUAAAGCGCGCGUAGGUGGUUCGUUAAGUUGAAUGUGAAAGCCCCGGGCUCAACCUGGGAACUGCAUCCAAAACCGGCGAGCUAGAGUAGGGCAGAGGGUGGUGGAAUUUCCUGUGUAGCGGUGAAAUGCGUAGAUAUAGGAAGGAACACCAGUGGCGAAGGCGACCACCUGGGCUCAUACUGACACUGAGGUGCGAAAGCGUGGGGAGCAAACAGG